ACAAAGGAGCUGAAAGAAAGUAUAUUCCUUUAUUGAGAGCAAAAUGGCGUGACCAACUUCUAGCAUAUGGAAGCAUUUCCUCACUGCAAGUUAUUUUGAGGGAAAGAAAAUGUGAUUUGCAAAUACUGUCAAAUGAAAUAUGAAUUUCCAAAUGCUACUAGGAUGACCAACACAUCCUUGUAUGUAACAAGUGUCCUGCAGACA